GCCUAAUUGACUUAUCAGGUUCCUCCCCCAGGUGAGGAUUUGUUGAAAUAUCAGAUAAGAAAGGGGAACAAAAUUCUUUGUCAAACGAAUCAUCGAUAGGGCAGUUUAGCCACGCGACAGUUUCAUCAUCUUGAAUCAAAUUAGUCUGAUUUCCAGCAACUCUUAUUGUUGGUUGAUCAUGUUUGUUAAACUGUCUGCAUUCAUUAGGAUCAUAACCUGGCUGCUU
rnacentral:misc_RNA from 1 species